CAUGACUCCUGUCCCCAUGCCGUGCGUCCACCCCAUCAGAGUGAAGAAGAACCAGCCGUCGCCGGGUCCUGCUCUGCCUGUUGUGAUCCAGCUCAUGGAAAUGGGAUUCCCUAGAAGGAACAUCGAGUUUGCACUCAAUUCACCCACAGGCACCCCUGGGAACACUGCUGGCUUGCCAGUCUACCGGUGCUGUCGUAACCGAGAGCUAGACUUAAUGAAAAACGGGCUGAUUUCCUGAGUAAUGAUGAUUAUGCUGUGUAUGUGAUUCAGAAUAAUCAGUGCCCUCACGACCAGGAGCAGCCCUGCUGUUGAGGAGUCAGGUGUGUUAACUCCCUGCAUCGUGGGAGAACGCACCAUGGAGAAUGCGGUGUCUCCCUGUCAGUGCCAGUGGGAAAGAUGUUAUUGUCAACUUCCCUCAGUCUCACUGAACUGCGCUCUCAUCAGACAUGUAGUUGGUACCCAGUGUCCAUCCUGGUAUCACUUUGCAGAAUCCGUGCGACAUUCAGGUACAGGUUGUACGCUCCACAAGAAGGGUGCUCAUCUCUUCAUCGUGACUGAACUGUCAGUGCGGUGACUGCAGCAGAUGUUAAGCUAGCUAUCAACGCCAGAGCUGUUCUCAGUAC